AUGAGAUGUAAGCAAAGUCUUGAAGGAAGUGAGAAAAAAGAAGAGAUGAAGAUGCAAGAGCCUUCCAGUGUGAUGACAAGGAUGCCCAGGAUGUGGAUCAGCUGCCCAGGGUGCUUUCCCAGAAACAGUCCAUUUGAAAACCACGUCAAUGGUGGAUACUUCUUCAAGCUGGAGUUUGGGGGUCUAUGUUGGGAAUUGAACCAAGGAAAGAACAAUCUUGGCCAUAACAAUGCUCUUGAGUGUGUACAUUACAAGCAGGCAUGAAAUAUGGCUUCUUACAGUAAAAUGAAAUUGGAUAACUACAGUUCUCCAAAGAGGCAAUGAUGAGACCUCUCCAAUAGAGUACAUGCAUUUCUAUUCAUUUCUGAGAAGUGUUUCCUUAAUGGUGAGUUUCCUUCAACAGAAGGAAACGAUUUUUUUCAAGGAUGAAAAAUAGGUUUAGAGUCAAAAGGAGUCUUGUAGAUCAAAUUCAAAUGAUAAAUAUUAAUGUCAAAAAGGAAAAAAAUAUGUUUAAAGUUGAAAAUAAUCUUAUGGGUCAAACUUGGUGGUAUCAAACUCAAUAUAAUAAUAAUAAUAAUAGCUAACCUUUUUAUUGUGCUUACUAUCUGUCAAGCAUUAUUAUCUCAUUUGAUUAUCAUGACAGCCCUAAGAGUUGGGUCCUAUCAUUAAUCUUACUUCACAGAUGAGGAAACUGAGGCAAACAGAAUUUAAAUGACUUGCUUGGGGUCACAUAGCUAAUAAGUGUCUGAAGUUGGAUUUACAGUGAGAUCUUCCUGACUUUAUAUGUAGAGCUUUAUCCAUUAUACCAUCUAGCUUCCUGAAUAGAAACGGGAUUAGAAAUGGGCCACUAAACCAUACCUAAGAAUCCCUAUAAAUUGUAUACUGACGUAGAAAACCAUGUGAACAUCUAUAUUCUGUUGUAAUUUGGUUUGUUUUAUUAAAUAUUUCCCAAUUCCAUUUUAAUGUUUGUGUUCUGUUUCUUCUUUAAUACAUAGGUCCAAUACAAUGAUCUGGGAGAACCCCAAAAGACUUAUGAUGGGGAAUGCUAUCCUCUUCCAGAGAAAGAACUGUGGGAGUCAUCUUUCACAUUGGUGUAUCUCUGGCUUUAUUUUGGGGUUUAGGUUAUGUAUGACUUUGCUCUUACAACACUGACCAAUAUGGAAGUGUGUUUUCCAUGACAAUAAAAAUAAAAUAAAAAAAUACA
rnacentral:lncRNA from 1 species